rnacentral:rRNA from 1 species
AUGGGCAUUGUGAAGGUUGCAAGUGGUGCGCCUAUAGCGAAGAGUAGUUACAGCCGUGAAAACGAGGACCUUACACAAGAGGAGAGAUUACUGCUUGAGAGCUUUCCUAGUCAUGAUUCUGCCGAUGACUGCGAACAUGCAGAGGUCGAUUGUGAGCUUGCAAUGUCUGGAGGCCAGUUGUGCAAUGUGCCUUAUGGGCUUUAUGAUCUGCCUGAGUUAAAUGACAUACUGUCUCUGGAGACGUGGAACUCAUGUCUAACAGAAGACGAUAGAUUCCGUCUAGCAGCAUACCUCCCGGACAUGGACCAACAUGACUUGUUUACAACAAUGACGGAGCUCUUGAGUGGCAGUGCUAUGUUCUUUGGGAGUCCACUUAGAGGUUUUUUUGACAGAUUGAAUGGUGGAUUUUAUUCUCCAGAAGUUUCUCGGGCAAGAGAAUUACUGAUGAACUUUCAGAGACGAAGGUAUUAUCAUUUUCUGAAGUUGUAUCAUGAUGGCAUUGUUUGGAAGUUUGCGUGCAUGGACAAGCUGUGGAGAAGAAGUCUUGUGGAUACUAGUCUUGAGGAGAAGAUUCACAUUUGGCACAACUGGAUACAAGAGAAGCUUCUCACAUUUGCAGAUCCAAACAGUUCUCCUUUGAAUGCAAGACUAUCAAAUAUUGGUGAGGUUGAAGCUGCCAGUUUUGCAUCAUUGAAGCGAGCUAAACUUAUAGAAGGGACAUCAAGUACCAAUUGGUCAGCCAAAUACAAGGAGAUAGUCCAUGAAGCAAAUGCCGACAGUGAUUUCCUUGCUGAUGGCAAUGCAGGAAUAUGUCAUACACCAGGACUGAUCCCACUCGCUCAGCUGGGAGUGCAGGUCUCCACCUUUUCUCCUUAUGCUUUUUCACAGCAUGUACAUAAUUUUUCUGUGAAUCCAUCUUAUCCUUUAUACAUAAACACAAGGAGAAAUUCUUUAGGCAGUUCAAGCUCAAAAGCCUGGCAGUUGGAGGGUGCACUAGAAACUUACCCUAUCUUGGUCAAAAGCCCAUUUGGAGUCCAGCAUGCUGUUUUGGAGGAUCUCAAAACAGGCAACCAUUCUGCAGCGUUGAGUGGGUAUCAGUCAGCAGCUAAUAAACCUAUCACAGCAUAUUCAGAUGAAGGAAACGACACAAGAGAAUCCCUCCAUGAGAAGAACCUUUUGAAGAACUUUGGUCGGCCGGGUGCCAUGGUUCCUGAAAGUUCUCCUGGUCUGUAUAUGAGAACCGCCAUUGGCCACGAGACGAACGGAUUGAUGAAAAUGUCCAACCCAGGAAAUGCUGACAUUAUUUCUGAGAUGCUUACCCUUGGUGCAAGCACAAACCCACCUUAUAACUUCCCGAUGCAGUCUGAAACAGUGCUCAAACAGCAUCAUGAUGGGCUGAAGAUGAAGGCACCUCCUUUCAUGAACUCUGCUACAAGAGUUGAAGGACAUAGAUUCCCUUACACAUACGCAAGGAGGAAGCCACACAGGGCGGUCGACCUCGUGGAUCCUGUUGAGACGCCGACCAUGGUGGGUUCAGAGACAGCGAGUGGGCUGGCUAGCAUGGCAAAUGUAAAGGCGAAGGGCAUCAAACUUUGA